UACGUAAAAUGCAAGCGUUAAUCGGAAUUACUAGGCGUAAAGCGUGCGCAGACGGUUAUGCAAGACAGAUGUGAAAUCCCCAAGCUUAACCUGAAAACUGCAUUUGUGACUGCAUAGCUGGAGUGCGGCAGAGGGGGAUAGAAUUCCGCGUGUAGCAGUGAAAUGCGUAGAUAUGCGGAGGAACACCGAUGGCGAAGGCAAUCCCCUAAACCUACACUGACGCUCAUGCACGAAAGCGUGGGGAGCAAACAGG
rnacentral:rRNA from 1 species